rnacentral:lncRNA from 1 species
UUUGCUUUCUUCUUAUCUACUAGCACACAGCAUUCAUUAAACGUUCAUAUAACGUCCAACCGUUCGUUUCAGGCAGCUCCGGACUACUAACCGUCUAUUUUAAUCUAUUUUUCGGUUUUUCAGAUGUGGAUAUCCAAUGGCUGUCCGACUUGUACCACCCUAGAACGUAUUAAAAUUUACGGUCGAUAGGAUCACCUCAGCGGACGAUAAACGGACGAAUCUAGUUUGUAUUAAUAAAUGUUCAUUGCUUUUCAUCUUUUGCCCCACGAAAGAAUAACAAUUUAAGAGGGAUUCCCAGCCAUUCAUUUGUAUGCGCAAGCAGAACGUUUUGGCUGGAUCGAGUUGGUGCCAAACGAUUGUCCGUCCAAAAUCAAGUUUAAUCAGACAAAUCACAUGAUUGAAUCGUGGCACCGCGGAAUGAACGAGUUAAUGAUGUGGUCCAUUCAGGAUUUUGAAUAUUUAUUGAUUAUCUCAAACGAGCUGCGGGAAUUACCAUUCGAGAUUUUUUUUAGGGGGAGGGUAGAAAGUGGAUGUCCAGUCCACCAAUUACGAAGAAGAAGAGACAUUAACCGAGACAGACAGAUAACCGGUCACCUUCAAGAAAACAUAAUUACCCUGCUGAAAUUUCUGAUCCCGUCUUCGAAUUAGUUUAAUCCGAUGGUGUGAGUCAUAAAUUAUCAUGGGGGGGGGAGGCUAAGGUAAGGAUGGUCACCAGAAAACCUGGAAAAAAUAUGAGGGAAUCGCUUCUGAAGUGCUGCUUCGGGCUGCGGACCCAAUCACUCCAGUUCCCGAGAUGAUCGUUCCAGCUUCCGACUCUGGAGGCGAUUGCUUCAGUUCUCGAGAUGAUUCCUCCAGCUCCUGUGAUGAUCGCUCCACCUGCCGAGGUGAUUGUUUAAGGUCCACUCCGUCAACGAAUUGUUCGCCGUAGAAACGCCGAGAUUGUUGUGAUAUUUGAGGGGGGAGACUAGUGCGCGUACCUCACACCCAUUAAUUUUAAAGAGAGAUUGCCCCACAACCUCCAGCAAACGGCAAGCCAAUGUUACGUGGGAGAACUUGCCCCAUGCGCAAGUACCGAAUGAACUCGUUCGUCUCUCAUUCCGCACUAAUGCCGCUCCGCUUCCUCAACUCAUGCAGAAUGGGGAUUUUAAAUGUAUUCAACACAUGUCUGGACCGUCCAGCAGAUUUGGGGUUCCAUUGUUGCGAACAUCAUUUUUAUAGUCAACAAUAUGCAUUUUAGAUAACUGUAACAGUAGUAAGCUACCUAGCGUUGCCAGGUCUUAUUGGAAUGGUGUCGCAAAAAACCGACGACGCUUUGGUCUUAUGUCGUUUAGGGUUUUUUCUGUGUGUUAUUCUGGCGAUUUAAGUAAGUCAUUUUUCGUUAAAGGACAAUUUUAUUUGCGCCUAGUGUCGUAAAUUUUUAUUCUAGAGUCACAAAUUCAAAUGUUCUUUUGGCCUUCGGUCCGGCUCCCCUAAAUAAUAUAUUGUAAUCCUGCAACAAGGUGAAUAUUAAUGUCGUGAAGAAGUCCAAGAACAACCCCGUCUCCACCUUAAUUGCUGGGCCACCACUUAUAACCAUCAAUUCGCUAAGUAAAUCUGAACUUAUUUCUCGUCUUUCUGCAGCUUUGUCCUUACUAGAGAACCAACUUGUUGACAUUUCCAAUCUUGAAUCAAACGUUUCCCGUCUUUAAAGAUUAUUUGGAUGGCCAGGACAAUCAGAAAAGUGCCUUAACGAUGAGGCUGUCAAAAUGAAAGUAACGUUUGCAGAUAGUGUUAUUGGCCUUUAACGGACUAUGACUCUUCCUGAUCUUGCUCGCCUGUCUGUCUGUUCCCCGUCUUAUACCUCUUUGGUCCAUGGCAACCUCUCUAAUUUUUUCCUGGUAGCCAAAUGUGUCUAUGGUUCUGCACUCGAGGGUUUCUGUGGUAAAGAACUGCUCUAUACUCCCAACAGAGGUCUCAUUCCUUCUCAUGUCCGAUACAAAAAAAAAUGUAAUGAAAUGAUGU